rfam:Gossypium arboreum cultivar AKA8401 contig_137910_1, whole genome shotgun sequence.
AACCCAUGGUGAGGGUACCUUCGCAGUAAGUCUUUGUAUCUUUCCCAUGCAUCGUAAAGUGUUUCUAAAUCCAUCUGCACAAAAGAAGAGAUAUCAUUACAUAAUUU